AGUGGUGGGUGGGGAAAGGCAGAGAGAAGUGGAAAGAGGCGAGGCUGCCGGCGCCUCGCAAAGACUAUUCCAGAAUCUUCUAAACCAGAGCUUUUGUUUAUAGAAGAGGCGAGAGUAACUAUAAACAUCAGGAGUAGAAGUUCAGUAGAGGUUUUCUACUGGGAAAGGACAGAGUUCACUUUGCACAAGAAAUAGAAGUACUGAUCUUGGUCACCAGUGUGUUCAAGACGAAGAAUGAAUGCCUCUGGCACAAGAAUCCAAAUCCAUACAGGAGAGGAAUCAAGGUUUCCACUGGAGAGAGCCUUUGUUUACUCAUAACAAAUAAAUUAUGGAAUAUAUUCACUUAUCAAUUCCUAAUUGAACACAUUGUUUCCAUUAUGUGGUGGGGAAGCAUUUCUGGAGAGAAAUCAAGACUCGGUUCAGAGAAAAGAAGGCCCUGAGCUACUAAUUUUUCAGCAACCAAGUUAAUCUGCCUACCUGCCCUGGAAGAAAUUCUGUUCUUGUUCUUUUCCAGAGUAGAGCCACUGUUCUACAUGCUCUGCUUAAGACUGAUGUGCUCUUAAAGAGAAUGAAUUUCAUCUACUGCAGAGGAAAAGUCUAAAAAUAAAUUAGUGGACGGGGAAGAAAUUGUUCAAAGAACAAAUUAUGACUAUCCAUAGGAGAUAAGUAAAGGCAGGGGAAGGGAAGGAGCUUAAUGGAGACGAAAGAGGAGGAGGAAGAAGAAAGGGAGAGAGGAAGGGAAGAGAGUAAUCAAGGUGCAAAAAACAAAAAAUGAUUAAUUUAAAAAACUCCAAAGAGGAAGUGGGGACAGGUUGUGAGAAGACAGAUGGACAGAUUCUGAUGAUCCAUAUGCCAACACGAAAUUAUCACAAAUUUAGUUUUCUCUUUUCCACAACCAACAUACCACCCCUUUCCUCUAUCCGCUCAUGGAAAUACAUGGACUUAAAAGUGGUUAAAAAGGUGGUCCUUGCAAGGGUUCUUGUUUACUCCCCAACCCACACACCAGCCCUUGUAGACAAGGCGUGACAGCAUAGUCAUUAGAUUAGCACCGUCAUCAACAAUAGACUGCCAAGGGGAGUGAAAUCAACAGCAGUAAUUUUUACAGGCAGACUAGAGGUACAUCUAAGAGGUCUGUGUGAAAUCCUUAAAUAUCUUAAUUAUUAACAAGAUGAGCCAAUGUCUUGGUACUUUUUUUAUUUAGGUCAUCUCCUAUUUUCUAACUAUAAUUUCCUCAGGGGUCAAAAAAGGGUAUUAAUAUGUAAACAGAAAGCAAAUCUAGCAAAUAUGAUCUUUAUGCAUAUAUUUUAGGUUUCUUCUGUAGAUAGCAUCACAAAGGGCCAAAGCUUCAACAUUUCUAUUCCCUCCUGCAUUAUGUUACUCUACACACUUAUGAAUCCAUAGCUGCUGGCUGCCACAACUCCCUUCAAAAUAGAGGACUCCAUGGAAUCCAUAGAAGGGAUUCCUCAGUGAAGUCUCAGCCUAAUGCUGUGCUGACUGC